GUUGUGUUUACAAUUACAUGUGUGGAGGUGAGCGUCUGUAAGCGGCUUCUUAUUUCAUUUGAUGUAAAGAUAGGCGUUUUUAUUAUUUUAUCUGUAGCUGCUGCUACUAUAGUGAGAUGAUUUCUUAGGCCUAGCACAGACGAAUGAUAUAAUCAUCGUCGUUAUCUGGAUACUCGCGGAGUGGAGCAACUUUUCCAUUAACAAAAUUCUGAUGCUGACCCAGAGGAGGGAGUGGUAGCCCCAGAGAUCCACUGUCCCCAUCAG